CUCACUAGUAUGUAAGAAGAUAACACUUUGGAAAGCUUAAGGAUUUUAGGAGCUGUGUGCUUAUUAUAUCACAAUAUUAUAUUCCCACAUAGAGAACUGCCGUGUCCCUAGAUUUAUCAUGGGCUGCUUCUAAUUUCUCCAUGUAGGACUUUCCGAUAGGAUUUAUUCCUAAUUAUCUCUGACUUUAUAGCCCUAGUCCCUGUAGUUUUCAGCCCUCUAUUCUUCGUUUUUGUGGGCGAAAGAUUACCUAGGUGCCGAGGCAAGAGACUGAAGGCACAAACUGUUUCAGUAUAAUAAAGAAAAUAGUUAAAAUAAGAAUAGUUAUAAUACAAAUUAGAUAUAGAGAUGAUCAUGGACAAUUAUCAAUCAUUAUUAUAAACAUUAAUCAUUAGCUUUUAAUAUUACUCUUUGUUGCUUUACUAAUAUAACCUAGGAAUAACCGGUGGGUAUAGGGUCAGGUGUUGACGGGAUAUUGUGAGAAGUGACCUAGAAGGCAAGAGGUGAGCCUUCUGUCACGCCCACAUAAGGGCCGCUUGAGGGCUCUUUGGUCAAGUGGUAACGCCAGUGUCUGUGAAGGCACCUGUUACUUAGCAGACCGCGAAAGGGAGUCUCCUUUCCUUGGAGGAGUCAGGGAACACUCUGCUCCACCAGCUUCUUGUGGAAGGCUGGAUAUUAUCUAGGCCUGCCCGCAGUCAUCUGGAGGCCUAAACCCCUCCCUGUGGUGCUGUGCUUCAGUGGUCACUCUCCUUGUCCACUUUCAUGUUCCUCCCGUACUCCUGGUUCCUCUUUGAAGUUCGUAGUAGAUAGCAGUAGAAGAAAUAGUGAAAGUCUUAAAGUAUUUGAUCUUUCUUAUAAGUGCAUAGAAGAAAACGCUGACAUAUGCUGCCUUCUCUAUCUCUGCGGUGGCUACCUAAAAGGGAAGGGCCCCCUGUCCCAUGAUCAUGUGACUUGCUUCACCUUAUCACUUAGAAGAUUCAUCCUCCUUACCCUGCGCCCCCUCGUCUUGUAUGCAAUAAAUAUCAGCACGCCCAGUCGUUUGAGGCCACUGCUGGUCUCCGCGUCUUGGUGGUAGUGGUUCCCCGGGCCCAGCUAUUGUCUCUUUAUCUCUUUGUCUUGUGUCUUUAUUUAUUACAAUCUCUUGUCUCUGCACACAGGGAGAACACCUGCUAAGCCCCGUAGGACUGGACCCUACACGUUUUCCUCUGUUUGAAGGCAGUCCAAUGUACUGUCUACAUUCAUUUCAGUUCAGUUCAAUAUAUAUUUACAUCAGAUUACUGAGCACUAUUUAUUAUGUCUUAAUGAUGGGUAAACAAUUAUGAAUGCAAUACCAUGGACUUUACAAUGUGGUUGGGGACACACAUACUUAAACAUGAUUUUCAAGUUGUGGGUGAGAACUAAGGUGGUGGUAUACAUAGGGAAUGGCCAGUCACUGAACAAACUUCUGUAUUAAAGGCAGUUAUAAGAUACAAAAAAAAAAAA
rnacentral:lncRNA from 10 species